AUCCUGGCUCAGGAUGAACGCUAGCGGCAGGCCUAAUACAUGCAAGUCGAACGGGAUUUGGGAGCUUGCUCCUGAUGAGAGUGGCGCACGGGUGCGUAACACGUAUGUAACCUACCUUGAUCUGGGGGAUAGCCUCUCGAAAGAGAGAUUAACACCGCAUAACAUUACUGAACAGCAUUUUUCGGUAAUCAAAUAUUUAUAGGAUCAAGAUGGGCAUGCGGAACAUUAGCUAGUUGGUAAGGUAAUGGCUUACCAAGGCUACGAUGUUUAGGGGAUCUGAGAGGAUGACCCCCCACACUGGUACUGAGACACGGACCAGACUCCUACGGGAGGCAGCAGUAAGGAAUAUUGGUCAAUGGGCGCAAGCCUGGACCAGCCAUGCCGCGUGCAGGAAGACGGCCCUACGGGUUGUAAACUGCUUUUGUACCGGAAUAAACCCUGAUAUGUAUAUCAGGCUGAAUGUACGGUAAGAAUAAGGAUCGGCUAACUCCGUG
rnacentral:rRNA from 1 species